UUGCUGGGUCAUAUGGCAAUUCUAUGUUUAACUUUUUUGAGGAAAUGCAGUUUUUAAUGGAUCCUCACAGCACCCCUGUGAGGUAUACAGGCCAGAUAUCAGAGAGGAUGCAUCUUAAGUAUCCAGCUCAUUCCCUAGCACAUACCAUAUGCUCAAUAAAUCGAAAAGUGUUAUCAUUAUCAGAUGCAGAAACCAAGGCUGAGCGAGGGGCAGGGACUUGCUCGAGCUCACCCUAAGCAGUAGUCAGAGCUAAGUUGAGGGCUUCCAAUUUCCAGUCCAGAAAGCUAGUCUUCUUGGAACUGGUUUCAGGAACUCAGACUUUUCCCGGCAAAACAACCCCAAUAGUAUGAAUUUCCCCUCGGGCUCAGGGACCUGCCUCUCCCUUCCCCAGGGAGAAGAAGCAGGACAACUGAGCAGAGAGAACCCUUCCAGUCCGCUGUCCUGCCCUCUCCAGGCAGAGAUGGCACUGAUUGUAACUGACAGCUGGCUGAGCUGUCACUUCCCCUGAGCUCCUGUUGCCCCUCCAGAGCCCUUGUCGUCCUGCCUUGGGUCCCAUCUGCAGAAGUAGCCACACUGAGCCUCCCCCGGGGCAGCCAGGGGCGUGUGGACCUGGAGGCUCGUCCACUGCAGAAGGAUCCGUCUGCUCAUCUCUUCUCAUCUGGAAGCCAGACUGAGCAUCUCAUGUCUGCAUCAGUGCUCACUCACCACAACCCCACAGGCACUUGACCGGGGCCCCUGCGUCAGAGGGCUGGACCUGCCGCCCAGAGGAAUUAAGUGACUUUCCAGAAGUCAGGCAGGGAAUGACAGCUCAAAUGCCUGGCUGCAGCUUUCUGACUAGUCCCAUUCUCUUCCUCUGCCCUAUUCCCAUGAUACCAAGAGCAGGAGCACAGACUCCCAGAGAAGAGAGGAGUCACAAACUCGGGCAGAAAGGAUCCAAGAAGCCCUGUGGUUAACCCCUGCCUCCAGGGGAGAUGAGGCUAAAAUCCUGUGGAUCUGGCUGGCUCCUGACAUUGUAGCAGAGACGUCUCUGAAGGAGGAAGGAGGGGAGAUCCAUAUAAAGUUGGAGACGAGCAGAAGAGCAGAGGCUGCUGAUGGGACUGGGGCCAGCAGCUGCCCUCCACUUUGAGGGGUGACGGUCGUGUUAGCUUCCCAGGCUGCCAGAACAAACUCCCACAGACUGCGUUGUUGAAAACAGCAGAACUGUACUUUCCCAUAGUUCUAGAGGCUAGAAGUCUGUAAUCAAGUUAUCAGCGGGACACGCUCCCUAGGAAGGCUCCAGAGAAGGAGCCCUCCUGGUCUCUUCCUAGCUUCUUGUGGUCCCAGCAAUCGUCAGUGCUCCUUGACUUGUAGCCACAUUGCUCCUAUUUCUGCCUCCAUCUUUCCAUGGCCUUCUUCUUUGUGUGUCUCCAUAUCCAAACCUCCCUCUUUGUUCUUUUAUAAAGACACCAGUCACUGGAUUCAGGGCCCACUCCAGUCCAAUAUGACCUCAUCUUAACUUGAUUACAUCUGCAAAGACCCUGUUUCAGAAUGAGGUCAUAUUCACAGGUAUCAGGGGUUAGGCCUUCAGUGCAUUCUUUUAGAAGACACAGUCAACUCACUACAUUGGGAUUCUGGGUGGAGAGACAGAAUUUGUACUCAGGCCACACUUCUACCAUUUUGUGGCCUUAGGCAUUGGCUUCUCCAGUCUAAAGGAGAAAGUAAAUAGGAAAUUAGAAUGUGUUAGGUGCCUGUGGUGUGAGGUGAGGGCUGUGAGGUCAACAUGUCUUCCCUAUUUUGCAGAUAAGGAGACUGAGGCUGGGACAGGGCAUGACAGUUACCCAGUCCCGCUGCCAGUAAGAAUGGUUUCCUAGAACAUGAGUGGUGAUGGAGUGCACGUUGACCCCUUCCGGAGUUCAAAUUCAACACAGUCAAAGCUUAUGACUUCAUAAAAUACCAGAGGGUUGAUUCCUGGUCCCCGAGUGAAUCAAAGGAUAGGAGAUUAAAAAAAUAAACAGUAGCUGAAAGCAGAAACCAGGACUUGCACUGCCUUGUGGAAAUGAUUAAGAGUGUUAGACUCCUGAGAGAGGAUGCACAGCUAUGCAGUUCCCUCUGUGCAGCAGCCAGGUCAGCUUUGGUCAUGUGAUGUGGCCACGAAGGACAGUACAGAUGAAAAUCUCUGCUCUGUCUUCAUCUAUAGAGGCCCACAGCGCCAGCCCCAUAGUGCCCUGACCCCAGACUAGGCGACAACGUAGGUUCCCAUCUUGGUUUUCAUGUCGCUGUUGGAUUUUCUGUGGAUGGUGGGCCUGUCCAUGUGUCCACCACAGACUGAGAGACCCCCAGAGGCCAUCUGGUGGAAAUUCAGCACAACCCACCAUCCUGGCACCUUCUGAAUGUAAGCACUGUGCUAGAGAUCCAGACGAGGGAUUGGUUUCCAGCUCCAAGGAAUUGGCCCUAUUUCCUAUGGACAUUCCCUCUUCCGAACCCACUGCCCAGCUCCUUCCCAAGGGUCCAGUUCCCCAGCAGGUGAGGAUUAAUAUUCUUUUGCUGACCCUUUCCCAGGGCCACAGCCACAGCUGUCAACAGUUCUGGUCACAGCUCCAGGUGCAGGGGAAAGGAAAAAAGUGGUGGUGUUUGCUCAUCUAAUAACUUUGAAUAGAACCUUUCAGAUGGACUUUGGGCAGGCUGGCCGCUGUCUAGCAGCCACAGAAACUGUUGCCAGGCAUAGCAAUGCCUUGGAGAAGUUGUUCCCUCCAGCAGGCCAGUCCUCUGCAGAAGGCUAAAGAUGUCCUAGGGCUCACCCCCCACCACUUGGGCUGCACUGGAUGUGCCCAAAGGAGCCACAGCUGGAAUUAGAAUUCCGGAGAGCCCUUGGAUCAAUGGCUCCCAAACUCGAAUCUAUCUCAGAAUCACCUGGGGAAGUGGUUCUCAGACUUGCAUGUACAUCCGAAACACCUGAAGGAUUGUUAAAACACAGAUUGCUGGGCCCCCCUCCAGAGUCUCUAAUUCAGUGGUCUGGGGUGGAGAAGGAGGAUUUACAUGUAUACGUUCCCAGGUGCUGACGAUGGCACUGGUCUGCAGACCACAAUUUAAGGACACUGGUGUAGGCCAAAGUGUCGGGCCCCAGUCCAGGGGAUUCUUAGUGAGAAUAGGGUGGAACCAAGGAAUCUGUAUUUUUAAUAAGCUUGCAGGUGAUUCUGAAGCACAAGGUUUAGGAAACCAAUGUCUUAGAUCUACUUUGUUAAGUCGAGGCCCUAGGACUCCCAAAGAUACCUCAGGAGAUGCUGAGGAGGUGGACUUUGAGCCCAGUCAAGGCAAGCACAGUAUCAUACAUAGAGACAUCUCUGUGCUUGGCAACAAGCAGCAUGAAAGAAGUGUGAAAUGAGUUUAUUGCUGAAUGAAAGCUGGCACUUCCCCUGAGGUGAAUGGGGAUUUCUCACUUUGCUUUUUCAGUCGGGGGGACAUUGGAUACAGCUGGGGGUCCUGGUUGCAGUCUGGGACUUUGAUCAGCCUGAUUAGAGGAUGUCUCCCCACUUUGCAUCUUAUUUCUCCCCCAAAUUUACCUCUUCUUAAAAUGGGUGAUGUCAAUACCCCUCUGAGAUUAGGAGGGAAAAAGAGUUGAACUCAUAAGCAGAAUUAGGAGCUUUGGGCUUCUUGUCCUAUUUUGGGUUCAGCCUGGUGAACUGCAGUGGGACAAGAGAGACAGUGAAGAGCUGGGGGCUGCCCCCCAGGGUGUCAGGAACCUACUGGAGGAUCCAGCUGCCAGGUCUGGGAGGGGUCCAGACUGGCUGGCAGAAUAUAGUGCACGGAAGGGGGUACAGCAGGUGACAGUCCAGGAACCUUUAGAGUUGGGUGUCCCAAAGCAAAACGGCCAGGUUGUCCCUGCAGGUGGGGCACAGUACAGAGACAUGGGGUACACAGAUGGGUGUGUACGGAAAUUGUGGCAACCCAGUCCAUCGAGGGGGCUUAGCCACUGUUAGGACUCUGGGUCCUGGAGAAGAAAUGGAAAAAGCAAGGAGGGCAGACAGGUUUCAGCUCCAAUGCUAGGUAUAAUGGAUUGGUAGUGGCUGUCUGGAGCUCUGGGUCAGGAGGAUUUUAAGUGUGGCUUCAGCAGAAAACGUGGGAAAGAAUGAUGUGACUGACUACCAAUGAGUGCUGUGGGUGCUUUGUGGGGAUUUUCUUCUGCACCUUUAAUCCCUCCUGUCCCGGUCCAGGACUUGGACAAGGACUGUGCUGUGGCCCCUGCUGGAGUAGGGAUGAGGCAAAGCCACCUACAGGGACAGCCUGGACUGACUCAUUCUGGAAAGAAGACAGAUGGGCUCCUUGGGGCUCCCAAGUCCUGUUGGCAGGGCUGACCUCUCAGCCUAACCUCAUCCAUCCAGGCUCCUCUGAGGGACUGGCCAGGCCUGGAGAAGUCAUUUGGGGAGUGUUUAAGAUCAGAAGAAAAAGAAAAUAGCCAGGAUCUGGGAGAUUCAUUAACUUUUCUGUGCUGUGUCCUGACACCUGGUUUUCCGUUGGGGAAAUUCAUGGAUGACUCUGCCUCCUUCUUGACCUCUGUGGUCCUGGCUGGGCCUCCUGACUUUGUUACUUCAGCUCAUCCUUCAGAAGACAACUGUGCACCUCUUCAGCUGGAACUCACCUCGCAGCGGCCCUGUUUACUCACCUACCAGCUGCCUUCCUUAGAACCAGUUUUGUUCCUGUUCAGAAGGAAACCAGGCAGAGUUGGGAAAAUAUUUCCUCAGCCAGCUCCGCAGCCCCACUGUCUGGCGGAGGCCAUCUGGCCGGGAUGCACUCCGAGGGAGUAAACGCAGAAUUGCCCUCUCCCCGCACGACAGGGCAGAGAAGACGGCAGGUCCCAAGACGGGCUGCUACUGUGCUGAUUCUAACUCAUCUCCGGAAGUCCCCAGAGUCCAGCAGUGUGCUGGUGAUGUUUCACCACCGGCUCCCUGGGAGGGUGGAGGUGGGUGUUGAUCUCCAUGGACAAUUUGGAACUACCAAAAGUGAACUCACGGAACACGGAGUUAGCAAGAGAUGCACAGUAGCACUCCACUGUGCAAGAUUUCUACCAUACGGAUAUCAUAGAUGUACAUGACCCCAAGAGCAUAGAUAAGAAAAUGCAGUAAAAUAAUUAGCAAGCGAUGAGUUUUGAGUAUUUCCUGCCUUUGUUUGUAAUGUGAUGUAAUUGUGAGUUUAUAUAAUUUAAUUUCAAAUGGUGUAUGCCUUUAACAACCAGCUCACCACAACCCAGAAAACUGAGCAGUCAGUUCUUGUGAGCCGGUGUGGGCUGGCUCCGAGCACCGCUGCUGGAUCCUCUCUUUUACUCAGAGUCAGAGAAUAAAUGCAUUGCUGUUAAAAUCGCUCCCAUUAGAAGCCAAGGCCACAUCACCAAGGAAGGUUUACGGUAGGCUCCAUUUCCUUAAGGAGAUUCUGUCUUCAGAAGGUAGAACAGACACCUGCUUGGAAAAGAACAGAGACUGGAAAACACCAGCUGUUUUGGGUUCUUUUGGCUCUGCCACCACGUGGACUUGACCAGUGUCUCGAUACACAGGUCAGGAGCUCCCGCCUUGCCCAGCCAGCCCCUAAGUGCAUGUACUUCAGCUUACUUAACCAGAG